UACGUAGGGGGCAAGCGUUAUCCGGAUUUACUGGGUGUAAAGGGAGCGUAGACGGUUAUGUAAGUCUGAAGUGAAAGCCCGGGGCCCAACCCCGGGACUGCUUUGGAAACUGUGUAGCUGGAGUACAGGAGGGGCAGGCGGAAUUCCUGGUGUAGCGGUGAAAUGCGUAGAUAUCAGGAGGAACACCGGCGGCGAAGGCGGCCUGCUGGACUGAAACUGACGUUGAGGCUCGAAAGUGCGGGUAUCGAACAGG
rnacentral:rRNA from 1 species